UGUAUUGGGGCAGCCCUCCCAGUUCCUGCCUGUUGACUUGUUCCUUCCUUAUCAAUCUCACAUGUCAGGUUGCCUUGCUAAGUGCUGCAAAGCUGCUGUUGGCCUUGGGCUGCAGAGGGCUGUGCAGAAAGUGCCUUUACCCAGCUGCAUCAGCCUAAGGAGCAUCCCCAGAGCAUCACUGGAGAAAGCAUUGUGAAAUGGGUGUUUUCUUGUCAUGGGGAGAUACCCAGCCCUGUGUGAGCUGUACUCCAUUCCAUCAGGUGAGGUGUUGAUAAAUCAAUGAAUGGGUGGUGGCACAAAGUUUAGAUGAGGACAAGUUGUGUACCCCCAGAGAAAGGGAAAUAGCAAAUCACAGAACAGAAUGCAGAAUGUCUGCCUUCUUUUUCCCUUCAUACUCACAAGUAUUCCUCAUGUGAUGAACAUUUUGUGUGUCUGUGAAAAGCCAGCUGUGCUGGAAUAGAAGAAAAUAAAAUGGUGCAAAGAGGAGCAAACAUUGCAGGGCCUCAUUCUUCUUUUGUGACCUACAGCCUCAACGAGAGUUUUUACAGAAAUGGAACACCACGGAACAGCAAAUUUGGGACCCCUGUCACUUGACAAAAGAAAUGUUUGGCUCAGAAUGCUAUUUUUCUUAAAUAAACAAAAUAGGUAAAAAUGAAAGGAACAAGCAAUGCUGGAAAGGAACAAAAUAGGAAGGAACUCCAUAAUGAAAGAGGUUAUCAUCCAGGAGUUAUACCCAGCUUGUUUUUAAACCUGCAAAGGGAAGAUAAUGUGAACAAAGCAGUGAUGGCUCUCAGGUUCCUCCCCAGGUACCAGGAGAGCAGUGGGGCUGUUUUGGAUCACCUGAGCACAGAUACUGGAGUGCUCUUCACCUCAUGUCUGUCACUGAGAGCUACAUGUGGUUGCUAA
rnacentral:lncRNA from 1 species